rnacentral:piRNA from 1 species
UUCUAUCAGAAGAGAAUCGAGUGAACCUU